CUCCGGGAAGGGGCGGGGACGGACCGCGGAAAGACCGCGGGGUGGGGGGGGGGGACGCGGCGGCGCGCGCAGAGCGGCCGCGGCUGUGAGGCUGCGCGUCAGUGCCGCUGGCCUCUCCUUGGCUGUUGGAGGUUUGAGAAACACUGCUUCAAAGGAUUGGUAGGAUUUGGAUAUGUGAGUAAAGGAAGAGGAAGCUGCUGGUGAAGAAGUCCUUUUAAGACAUUGAAAAUAUAGUGAAGAAAGGAGGUUAGCACAACAUUGCCAAUGGCUUCCUGGCGAACAGUGAAGUUCAGCUAGGCUGGAGCACUAGGAAUGUGAAGAACAGAGUAAGAUCCAGAAAGUCAGAUCAGCAUUGAAACAUUGGCUCUACUUGGAUCUUGAGCUUGCAAUCUCGUGGACUAGAACUACACCAGCAGCUCUCUUGGGUCUCCAGUUUGCUGGCUGCAGAUCUUAGGACUUCUCAGCCUCCAUAAUUAUAGAAGGCAUUGGGAGACCAAGAAAUAUUAAUGAACAAAGUUCAAAGUCACAAAGCAGAAGAAAACUAGAACCUGGAUCUGAAUUCAGAGGCAUAAUUCUGGGCAAGUCUGGCAGGAGUUAUCAUUGACCCAUCCGUGGGAAUUGGUGCUUAAGGACAGAGCUUCAAUCCCUGUGAAGACCAGAGGAACUGGGAUACCCAGCAGGAAACACAGGGUGGAGACUCAGGCGCGGGAAAACGACAAGGACAAAUCUCUUAUGAGAAUGUAAAGUCACUGCCGAAAUUGCUGUCACCAAAUUAGAUGUAAGCAAGAAAAUUUGCAAAAGCCCAGAAAAAGUAAAAAUUUACAAGUAUUUUGCACUUCAAAAGAUCGGCAAAGGAAAUGUAGUUCAAGUUAAAAUAAAAAGCUUAAGGUAUAAAAAUAUUUCAAGGCAAUUUCAGUAAACUGGAUUUCAAGAAACUCCUAAAACAUUUUUUUAGAGCCAGUUGUUAAACAUUUAAAAGCAUACCGUUGGAUACAGCGAACCUGAGGCAAUCUCUUAAUGUGGGAGCUGAGAAAACUCACACCCAGACCUUGUUUUCAAGAUGGAAAGAAGACCCCGCUCAAUAGGGAGCCAGAGAACACUGGUGCCUCUUGAUCCGUCCUGUUCAAACCAUCCUCUGGGGGAGACAGCAGAUGGAGGAGGGUGGAGAGUGAAUACCUUCCUAUCCAUUCUUAUCACCCCUGAUUUCCCACAGCAAUGGAGGUAACUUUGGCUGACAACUGGAAACAGUGGAUUUUCUAGUAGGACCUUAAGUGACCCUGCUCAAGAUGAACUGUCCUAGAAUAAAAUUUGAUUGGCCAACUUCAGUCAGUGAUUACUCUUGGCAACAAGACAGGGUUCCUUGACUGACAGUCCCAUGGAGACUCUCAUAAUAAGGAGCCAGUAAUCUCCAACAAGGAAUUCAGAGUGCUCUUAAGAACAGGAGGGCGAAUGGGUGCUGGGAAGCCAAGGAAGAGCAAAUGUCCACUUCCAUCUGGGACAUGACCUUGCUACAGGGCCCCUCCUGAGUUGGGGGGGUGGGCAGGGAGCAUUAACGUGGAAGUAAUUGAGAAUUAAUUUUUCUUUAAAAAUCUCCAGGCAUAAUGUCAAUAGUUCAGAAUGUAACACUAUUUGACAUUAACAGAGCUCACACUGAAAAAUCGCAGGUAUGUAAAUAAAUGUGGAAUGAAAAUAAAUAAGAAACUGAAAGAAAAGCUGAGAUAUGCUGAUGUUUAAGGAAGAUCAUAUGUCACUGUUUUGCCAAACCUGAUGAAAAGAUAAGUAUGUUCCAACAGCAUUCAGAGUAAGUGGAAAAUUUACUGUUAAACAUAGAGCCAGGGGGGUGAGAAGAAUGGGUUUGUAGGGGACUUUGUGGUCCAUUUCAGUUGUAAAUGAGUGAAGAGAAAGUGCUUGACCUUCCCGGCUGUGGCCCCCUCGACCUACAUGGUCCUCUCGCUCUUCUCUCUACUUCUCCAAGCUCUGCUGCCUUCAGGACCCAACACACAUGUCUUUUCUCUCAGAGCCUUCCAGGACCAGCUCAAUCCAGCCCAAUCCAUGAUGAAAUACCGCUUCUUGUCCCAUGCACGUGGCACUUCCUAAACGUCCCCUUAGGUUGUCACACAGCUCCUGACAUGUGCAUCCUGACCUUCACCUAGGGUCCGGGAAUAACGAAAGCAGGAUCUGUCUGAUGAUGAGAAGUUGGCUGUUGGAGGCUUAAUGUGACAUUUACAAAACUUGGUCUUUCUGCCCUUUUCUAGUUCCUCAUUCACCUAAACCUUGAAAAUAGGAAAUGUAACCAGGAUUUGUCCCUUCUCUCUCUCUCUCUCUCUCUCUCUUUUUACACCACACUGUUCUGGAGAGAAUUAAUGAGAGGAUACAUGUAAAAGCCAACACAAGACUUACACUCGGAUGUUUUCAUUUUGUCAGAUGCUCGUUGCCCUAUAGGUAAAGAUCUCCCAAGCACAUAGGCAGAUUCUUUUAAUGGUUACGAAUAAUGGUAGUAUUGUCUCAUGCUGCCUAUUCUUUCUCAAUGAUCUCAUCUAUUUGGGCAGUUUCAGUUGUGGUCUUUAAGAGGAUGACUCUCCAUCUGCCUCCAGCCAACUCAUCUCCCAAGCCCAGGCCCGUAUUUCCAACCUGAUGUUCUGUAGACCUCAGACUCAACAGGUCCUGAAUUGAACCCAUCCUUCCAUACAAACCUAGUCCCUCUUGUUACUGAAGCCAUUGACCACAAUCAGAACUGGCCUAGAUGCCACUUAUGCCUGAAAUCCCAGAAAUGUUUCAGUUCCAGCAUCUCCUUCUCACCGUCUCCCACCCAGUAUCCUGCUGGAGUCUCCCAAUGUGUUCCUAAGGUUCCAUUUUUUCUGCAGCCCCAUGUCUGACCUUCAUUAAGUCUCAACUCAAAUCUUGCAAGAACAUCCUGACUAGUCCCUCUAUCUCCACCCACCACCUCAGCCCAUGCUCUAUGCUGUCACUAGGAGUUCUGUCCUUAAAGACACUGGUAAGAUUGUAUCAGACCCCAGCACCCUCUCCACACACCAAAGCUUCUAGUCUUCCUGUUCUGACAUAACAGUUCGAGCUGUCCACAAUAUGUAGCCUCAUCUCCUCUACAGUCCCCGAACCUCAAGCCUACUCCCUCCGCAUUUCACGUUCCCAGAAUAUGCCCUCCACUGUCACACAAUUAACCUUGUUAAGCUGUUUCCUUGUCUCAAAUACUCUUGCCACCUGGCCCAGGAUCCUCUUAAUCUGGCAUCUUCCAAGACACUUCACCAAUUUUAACAGUUAACAUUAAUUGUUCCUUCAAGUAAUAGCUACCAUUAUAGAGAACUGAGUAUGUGCCAGGGAUUUACAUACAUUAUCACGGUUAAUCCUCACCACCCUCCAGCAAGUUAGGUAUUACAGGCCCAUGAUCCCUUAUCCAAAGCCUUGAGGCCAGCUGUGCUUCCAAAUUGAGAAUGUCUUGUUUUUUGGAAAGGUAAUAUAGUGGGAUGUGUCUCAGUUUCCCCAUCUGUAAAAUGGAGAGGAUAAGUACUAGCAGAGUACCUCUCUCAUGGGAUUGUUGUGAAACAGGCAAUGUGUUCCUUCAGAGAAGGGCUUAGGGAAGUGCCCUUAUGAAAUGCACUGUGAGGUCUAUUUACUUGACUGUUAUAAACAAUACAUAAUAGCUUGUGAAAAGACCUUACUAGGAAAAUAAGUGGCUCAACAAAUUUGUAUCAGGAAAGUAAUUUGGAUGAUGAUAAGAGCCCUCAUUUUGCUGGAUGUUGUGCUUUCUUUUUCUUUCUUUACUUUCACUUCCUUCUGCUACUUACCACACCCUUUAUUCAGCAUUUCCUAUCAAAAUCACAGGCCUCCUGCUACUGCAAUGAAAAGUCUUUCUUCAUUUUUCCAGCCUAUUUUACAAUUAAUUCAUAAGUUUCUCCAGAAAAAGAAAUAUAUAUAUAUAUAUAUAUAUGCUAGAUAAUUAUUCCCUUCUUCUCUGACAAGAAUAAUUUAUGACAAUUAAUGCUAGUUUUUAGAAAUUCAGUGUAAACAUCACCAACAAAUUCAUUUGCUUUACUCUUUUAUGGGCCCAGAUGCAGAAGAGUCCAAGAAUGUAGGGCCUGGAAGGGACCCUAAAGACCAGCCAGUAUGCGUGACCCGACUCUAUCCAACUAUCUUUUAUACUUGAAGAAACUAGGAGUAGGGAGCUCCUGCUCAAGUUCACACAGCUAGUUAAUGACACAACACUAGCUAAAUCCCAACUGUCCCCAUUCCCACCUCCCCCCCCAUCCCCAAGCAACCACUGAUCCACUUUCUGUCACUAUAGAUCAUUUUCCUAGAAUUUCAUAAAAAUGGAAUCAUACAAUAUUUGUUGAAUCUGGCUUCUUUCACUCAACAUACUGUUUUUGAGAUUCAUCUACAUUGUUGCAUUUAUUGGAGGAGUGUUCUUUCUUAUUGUUGAGUAGUAUUUUAUUUUAAAGAUAUAUUGCAAUGUAUUUAUCCAUUCUUCUGCUGAUGGAUGUUUGGGUUAUUUCCAGGUUUUGACUAUUAUGAAUAAAACUGCU